AGUUAAGUGAAGCAUCCUUUUUAUUACUUUGGAAAGUGGAGGCACAGAAAAGUGAUGAAGUGACUUGCCCAAGGUCAUAAAACUACUCAUUCUAGAAUCCAUUCCUGUUGGAGAAGGAAUUAGAAACCGUAGGUUUCCAAGACUCCUCCUCUUCCUUCUGCCUUAGAGAGAUGAAAAGAAAUUGGCUUCUCCUUGUAUGCAUUUUACCUUUGAUUAUUCCUUUUUAUUCUCUACCCACUGUUAGUUAUUAGGGUGAUAUUUUGAUACUGUGUUAUUACGGACCCAGCAAUGCCCAAACCCCAGCAUGCCUGCCACUUCCCUCUCCUCUUCCCACCAGCCUCAGAGGAAGUUAAGCACACUACAUAAUUAUACAUUGUGAAACAAAAUGUCUCUUUAUUAAUGGCCCAGGCACCCAUGCCCCAAAGCAGAGCUCUCUGGUCCAAGAGGAAGUGAGGCCUUCUUCUUGGGAUUUUCCUGCCCUCUGACCACAUGCAAAGAGGAGGAAGUCUAAGAAAUAGAGGAACUCUAUGGCCAGGGACUGGCUCACACAAUUAUGGAGGCUGAGAAGUCCAGACCCAAGAGAACCGAUGGUAGAGUUCCCAUGCAAGGCCAAGUCUGAACGCAGGGGAAGACGAACACUCCAGCUCCAAGAUAAAGCAAAGCCAUCAGCUGAGAAGGAAGUGAUGGAAUUCAGAAGAAUAGGAGGUAAAGUCAGCAAGAAGAGUGGGGAAAUGAACACCCGAGGAAAUGUAAUAAGAUAGCAUCCUUGAGGUUAG